UACGUAGGUGACAAGCGUUAUCCGGAUUUACUGGGCGUAAAGGGCGUGUAGGCGGCCCUGCAAGUCAGAAGUGAAAUUCCCGAGCUCAACUCGGGCGCUGCUUCUGAAACUGUAGGGCUUGAGAGCUGGAGGGGAUAGCGGGAUUCCUAGUGGAGCGGUAAAAUGCGUAGAUAUUAGGAAGAACACCGGUGGCGUAGGCGGCUGUCUGGACAGUAACUGACGCUGAGGCGCGAAAGCGUGGGGAGCAAAC
rnacentral:rRNA from 1 species